UUCACAAAAAUAGUCUCAAGAUAUAAUGCUUAGCCAUGGGGUAGAUUCAAAGGCAUUCUUUAAAGCUGCAAAGUUAAAUAAUUAACUGGAAGCUCUGGGACAUGUGAGCUGCUCUGUGCAUCAUGUUGCUGCCACAGCUCGAAUUUACCGGACAGUCAUGUCGAUGGUUUGGAACUUGUGUUUGCCUUCCAUGCACAAGGAGCUUAUGUUACCUGUUCAAAAGGAUUAGUUAUGCUGCUGCAUCUACCCUUAUCACUGGCCCAGUCAAGGUAUUGAAACUUACUCUUUAUUAAUAGGCAUUGGCGUUUCAAUUCUUUCAAUGUAUCUGCUCAAGAAUAUGGAUCUUUGGUACUUAAACUUGAUUAGCAGCACUGUUUUUGAGAUGGAUGAGAUAAUUUACUUAUUUUGAAGGAGGUUGUAGUUGGAGGUGGUUCCAAUUGAUGAGACAAUAGGUAAAUGCUGCUUUUUACUUCACUAUAGUAUUGCAGUAAGAAUUCAUUAUUUGUAUCAGAAUAUUUUUUUUCUUAGUUGGAAGAAAAGCUUUUAGCUUGAUCAAUCCUCUUUUUAUACUCGAGAAACCAUAUAUAUGUGACAUCAUCAUAUUUUCUUUGAUGAUCAUGGAGAAAAUGUCAAUUGCAGAUUACUUUUCCUGGAGGAAAAAGGAAGGAGAUAGAAGGACCUUUCUUUAAAGUUAGGUGCUUCCUAGGGUGAAUAUCGAGGAUGUUUAUUGACAUGUGAAUGCAAAGAUUACUUCUGGAAGCUGGUCUUAGAUUUCUGGGCAAUUAAAGGUGAUGACAGCUACAGAUCUGUGCAGUUAAAGCAACUGCAAUACUUGUACAUGAAUUGAAUUAUGUAUGCUUUGUUUUUAGGGGGUACUGCAUGCUUUGUUCAUAUAAUGUCAAGCUGAGCAUCUGCUUCACUUCUACCAUUCCUGUUGGCAUAAUUGAGUCGAUUGAUUAUCUAAUGUCACUUUAAAAAUAUUCCUUUUGUAAAUUUUGGUGUAUGAUCUAAUCGUAAUCCUUCUUGUGUGAGAACAUAUAUUAUUUCUGGGCAACUUACAAAAUGACUAGUGAGAUAUGAUUGUAAUUA